rnacentral:tRNA from 1 species
GCGAAGGUGGCGGAAUUGGUAGACGCGCUAGCUUCAGGUGUUAGUCGUCCUUACGGACGUGGGGGUUCAAGUCCCCCCCCUCGCACCA